UUCUGAUCCUCGACUGCGACUCCCAGCCGCACGCCCUGACGCACUUCCCCGGCGCCAGGUCGGAGCGGAUGGGGAUCGGGGUCGAGGGCCCCACGGAC
rnacentral:ncRNA from 1 species